rnacentral:rRNA from 1 species
GAUGAACGCUGGCGGCGUGCCUAAUACAUGCAAGUCGAGCGAACAGACGAGGAGCUUGCUCCUCUGACGUUAGCGGCGGACGGGUGAUUAACACGUGGAUAACCUACCUAUAAGACUGGGAUAACUUCGGGAAACCGGAGCUAAUACUGGAUAAUAUAUUGAACCGCAUGGUUCAUGAGUAAAAGACGGUUUUGCUGUCACUUAUAGAUGGAUCCGAGCCGCAUUAGCUAGUUGGUAAGGUAACGGGCUACCAAGGCAAGGAUGCGUAGCCGACCUGAGAGGGUGAUCGGCCACCCUGGAACGUAGACACCGUCCAGGCUCCUACGGGAGGCAGCAGUAGGGAAUCGUCCGCAGUGGGCGAAAGCUUGACGGAGCAGCGCCGCGCCAGUGGUGAAGGUCUUCCGAUCGUAAAGCUCUCUUAUGAGUGAAGAACAAAUGUGUAAGUAACUAUGCACGUCUUGACGGUACCUAAUCAGAAAGCCACGGCUAACUACGUG